rnacentral:tmRNA from 1 species
GGGGGUGUCACGGGUUCGACAGAAUAGAUGAACUAUUAAAUGCAGUGGGGUCUGCCCCUUACAGCUCGAGGUUUAAUAAAUGCAGAUGAAACAAAUUUAAAUGAACAAAGUUCAUUUGACAUCAAUUUAUUAUCACAAAACCAAAAUUUAUACGCUUUUGCGUAAGAUUUAAUUAGUCUUUUAUUUUUUAAAACUUAUUAAAUCAUAGCCUAUUUAAUAUAGGCACAAAAAUUUAUUAUUGUUAAAAUAAAUCCUUUUGCUUAUUUUCACGUUUAUGGCAACAAUAAUAUCUUAUUUAUUUUGAAAAUAAGAUAAACUGUAGACUUUAAUAGGAAUUUUAUUUUGGAAAGGGGUUCAACUCCCCUCAUCUCCACCA